GAGUUUGAUCAUGGCUCAGAACGUACGCUGGCGGCACGCCUAACACAUGCAAGUCGAACGCAGUAGCAAUACUGAGUGGCAAACGGGUGAGUAUAAUGUGGGAAUCUGCCUUUUGGUUUGGAAUAACACGGGGAAACUUGUGCUAAUACCGAAUAAGCCCUUACGGGGAAAGUUUUAACGCCGAAAGAUGAGCCCGCACUUGAUUAGCUAGUUGGUAAGGUAGAAGCUUACCAAGGCAAUGAUCAAUAGCUGUUCUUAGAGGAAGACCAGCCACAUUGGGACUGAGACACGGCCCAGACUCCUACGGGAGGCAGCAGUGGGGAAUCUUGCACAAUGGGGGAAACCCUGAUGCAGCGAUGCCGCGUGAGUGAAGAAGGCCUUUGGGUUGUAAAACUCUUUCGUCGGGGAAGAAAAUGACUGUACCCGAAUAAGAAGGUCCGGCUAACUUCGUGCCAGCAGCCGCGGUAAUACGGAGGGACCUAGCGUAGUUCGGAAUUACUGGGCUUAAAGAGCUCGUAGGUGGUUAAAAAAGUUGAUGGUGAAAUCCCAAGGCUCAACCUUGGAACUGCCAUCAAAACUUUUUAGCUAGAGUGUGAUAGAGGUAAGUGGAAUUUCUAGUGUAGAGGUGAAAUUCGUAGAUAUUAGAAAGAACACCAAAUGCGAAGGCAACUUACUGGGUCACUACUGACACUGAGGAGCGAAAGCAUGGGUAGCGAAGAGGAUUAGAUACCCUCGUAGUCCAUGCCGUAAACGAUGUGUGCUAGACGUUGGAAAUAUAUUUUUCAGUGUCGCAGCGAAAGCAUUAAGCACACCGCCUGGGGAGUACGACCGCAAGGUUAAAACUCAAAUGAAUUGACGGGGACCCGCACAAGCAGUGGAGCAUGUGGUUUAAUUCGAAGAUACGCGCAGAACCUUACCAACACUUGACAUGUUCGUCGCGAGCCUAAGAGAUUAGGCUUUUCAGUUUGGCUGGACGAAACACAGGUGCUGCAUGGCUGUCGUCAGCUCGUGUCGUGAGAUGUUGGGUUAGGUCCCGCAACGAGCGCAACCACACUUUUAGUUGCCAUCAUUAAGUUGGGCACUCUGAAAGAACUGCCAGUGAUAAGCUGGAGGAAGGUGGGGAUGACGUCAAGUCCUCAUGGCCCUUACGUGUUGGGCUACACACGUGCUACAAUGGUAUCUACAACAGGAAGCAAGACUGCGAGGUCAAGCAAAUCCUUAAAAGAUACCUCAGUUCGGAUUGCACUCUGCAACUCGAGUGCAUGAAGCUGGAAUUACUAGUAAUCGUGGAUCAGCGUGCCACGGUGAAUGCGUUCCCGGGUCUUGUACACACCGCCCGUCACACCAUGGGAGUUGGUUCUACCUUAAGGCAAGGUUUCAAACCCUUGACCACGGUAUAGUCAGCGACUGGGGUGAAGUCGUAACAAGGUAACC
rnacentral:rRNA from 1 species